rnacentral:rRNA from 1 species
GGUAGGGAAGUCUUCCACAAUGGACGCAAGUCUGAUGGAGCAACGCCGCGUGAGUGAAGAAGGUCUUCGGAUCGUAAAACUCUGUUGUUAGAGAAGAACACGAGUGAGAGUAACUGUUCAUUCGAUGACGGUAUCUAACCAGCAAGUCACGGCUAACUACGUGCCCG